AAGAAUUUCCCUAAACCCUAACUUAUAAGAAUUUAGGGGUUUUAUUUCUUUAUGGCAAAUUAAGCUUGUUAACAACUGAGAAAUAUGUUUUAUAACCAAAACUAUGUGUUUUUGCAAUAGUAUAAAGUGUUUAUGUAUGUUGCAUGAAACCUAGGGUUAAGAAAUUUGAAAUUGCUAACCUUGUACCUUUUUGGGCCCUAAGGUGCAUUUUUCUUUCAAAAUGAGCAUAAGACCAGAAUUUAGAGACACUAGUAUCCAAGAAGCGUAGUGUCGAAGUUUUCCACACUGAAUCUUGGAAGAUACUUUAGCUAGUUAUUACAUAGUUUCCCAUACAGCUCCAAUCAAUUCUACAGUUUUUUUUUU
rnacentral:misc_RNA from 1 species